rnacentral:rRNA from 1 species
UACGAAGGGGGCUAGCGUUGCUCGGAAUGACUGGGCGUAAAGGGCGCGUAGGCGGCUUGGCAAGUCAGGCGUGAAAUUCCUGGGCUCAACCUGGGGGCUGCGCUUGAGACUGCUGGGCUUGAGGAUGGAAGAGGCUCGUGGAAUUCCGCGUGUAGCAGUGAAAUGCGUAGAUAUGCGGAGGAACACCGAUGGCGAAGGCAAUCCCCUGGGCCUGCACUGACGCUCAUGCACGAAAGCGUGGGGAGCAAACAGG